UAGGGAAUCUUCGGCAAUGGGGGGAACCCUGACCGAGCAACGCCGCGUGAGUGAAGAAGGUUUUCGGAUCGUAAAGCUCUGUUGUUAAGGAAGAACGAGUGUGAGAAUGGAAAGUUCAUACUGUGACGGUACUUAACCAGAAAGGGACGGCUAACUACGUGCCAGCAGCCGCGGUAAUACGUAGGUCCCGAGCGUUGUCCGGAUUUAUUGGGCGUAAAGCGAGCGCAGGCGGUUAGAUAAGUCUGAAGUUAAAGGCAGUGGCUCAACCAUUGUAGGCUUUGGAAACUGUUUAACUUGAGUGCAGAAGGGGAGAGUGGAAUUCCAUGGGUAGCGGUGAAAUGCGUAGAUAUAUGGAGGAACACCGGUGGCGAAAGCGGCUCUCUGGUCUGUAACUGACGCUGAGGCUCGAAAGCGUGGGGAGCGAACAGG
rnacentral:rRNA from 1 species